GCUCUGCGAAGCCCCUGGAUCCAGUUGCCAGCAUCACAGGAAAAAAUGCUUUCGGCUAGAAAGGCUCCUUAAUCCAAGGCGCCAGCUUCGCAGGAGCCCCGUGCCUGGGAUGGGCCAUGGGAGGCCCUUCCUUGCGUCAACACCAGAUGGUGCAGAAGGCAAGGCCUCCUGCACACAGCUGACUGUGGGAGCUGCAGCCAGUUCCCUCUGGUCUCACUUGGUGCAGAUUUGUGGCUUCCCUGACAAGGCUUGGCCUGAAUGCAUGAUUCUCCUCUCUCCAGAUCUUAAUUUUCCAGACAGUCCUCACUCCCAGCCCUCCUGCAGCUUGGCUCAGGUUGCCACUCUGCCUCUGGCCAUCCAUCAGCGGGAAGAAUCGCAGUGCAGUGGUCACCCCAAAGACUCUGAAUCUGCUCUGCUGCUCCUCGCUGUCAUACAUCACUGGGAAGGACGAGAGGUGGACGUGAUGGGCGAGCUGAUGGCUGACCAGCACGAAAUAUUCUCACAUUGAGCAGAGGAGCCAGAGAAGAGCUACUCCAAGGAUCACUAUGGCCCGGACUUCAGUGGGCAAAGCCAUUCUGACAGUGAGCUUGAAUGUUGGAACACGAGGACUACCACAGGGUCUCAAGGUCAGGGCGCCCCUCUGAAGAGCAGAUCAAGGCCACUCGCAUCUGCUGUGCACUUUGUGCUGAUAGGACACGGCUUCUGAAGAAGGUUUUCUUGGCUAGAAAAGCCCAAGGUUGUCUUUUGCUGCCUUCUGAGGAGACAAAGGAAAGUGCUGCCUCCAAGUGGCAACAAUGGCUUUUAGGGGCUGUACUCUAUUCCUUCCGGGCUGCAUAGGCCUGUCUUUUCUGGGCUCCAUCCUGCCUCAACUGCCCUGGACCCACUCUGAGCACAGUUCUUAAGGACAAGGGUCCCUCUCUGAGGAGCCAUCCCUGUCUCUGCAUGUCGUACAGAAGCCGAGGCCGCGAUCAAAGGCAGAGUCAGCGGCUGCGGUUAGCCUGGCCCUGUGCUCUUCUCCACUGUUUCCCACUUCCCGCCCCACUGGUUAGAAGAUGCCACUUUCCACAGACUCUGGGAACAAUGUAAAGGCAAAAGUGGACGCUCGGAUGCUUGAAGAUGAGCCUGGUUUCCAGAACCGUCGCGUUUGGGGCUGUCAUGAUAGAUAGGUAGAUUUUAUUUAUGACUGGUGAUUGAACUCAGGGCCUUCACACUGAGCUACGUCUCCAGCCCCUCCCCCCUUUAAAAAUUUUGAUAUGAAUUCCCACUAAAUUGCUAAGUUGCCCAAGCUGAGCUCCGACAUGUGAUCUUCUCACCUCAGUCUCCCAGAGUGGUGUGUGCCAUUCAGUUUUGAAAGUUGUAAAUUCAAAUCUGACAUAUAAAGUAGGGGAACUUCUGCAUAAAAGCUUUGGUACUGCUUUCUAAAGGCCCAAGAGCCAGUAAGCCUGGGCUUGCUUUUCCACCAAGCUGUGGUCAGCUGGGUGGGCCAGUGGCUGGCUGCCCUUCUUGGCAGAAUCUACCUCCCCUCCUCUCUCCCUCCUGACCCACAACCGAGGCCUGGGUGAGCUGCCAGUCACAGCCCCUGUCCUUUUGCAGUUGGGCUCUACGGGCCGAGCCUGCAUCACUCAGACUCAUUACCUACACUGCAUCCUUUGCUGCUGAGAGCUUGAAGCCUCUGAGCCAGCCCCGGAGCAGGAUGGGAGGGGUGUGGCUUGCAUCCCAUCUCUAUGAAGCAGGCCACCUCUCCCCUGAUGUGGGCUGAUGCUCCCUGCCAGUCUGGCUCUCUGCUCUCCCCUGGAUGCUGCCCUGGUCCAGCUCGCUGCUGAGUGAGAUUCCACCUCGCCAGCCUGCUUCUCUUGUUGACAUUUUAAUUAAAGUCUCUUCAUGGAUAUUUAUUCAAAGGGAGUCGGUGAGGAAUAAUUGAGCACUAACAGUAUUUGUUUAGGUAGAAUUAAUUUCUGCCAUAAAAUUAACGUGUGCUGGUAACUUGGGCAAAAACUAGCAGCAAAUAAUAUCUUCAGGUUUUAAAGAAAUAGGAGUAUUUUUAAGAAAAGUUCAGUGUGGGAUGUAGAACCACUGACCGGGUGAAAUAUGGGCCUGUGUCCUUGCUGACGGUACCUGUGGGGGGGCUUCCCCCCCCCCCCCCCCCCCCCCGCUAGAACUCUUGAGUGCCUUUUACGG